CGAUGAUAAACCUCUGAAACUAAACAGCAUAUGAUUAUUAAGGCAUGGAAGAACCUAUGGAGAAGACAAAUGGAUACAUGUGUAAACUCCCACAGUGCCCUUUGUUACAAGGGCAUAAACAAAACACCAGAGCCUACUUAACCAAAUUCCCCAGUACUGGAGUGACGGUAAUGAGCCACCAUGCCCAGCAUCCAAAAAGGCUUUUCAAAAAAUCAGGAUUAUGGGCAAGGAGGUGCAGUCCAUCUUGUCAGAGAAGAUGCUACAUCAGGAGGAAGAGGUGGCUACUACAGUCAAAGUCAGGAAGCAGAACUCAACUGAAUCCUUGUGUUCAGCUCAGUGUCUCCUGCUAGUUCCCCCUGAGGCUCUUGCCUAUGAAGACCACAUUUAAGGAGGGGUUUUCUACCGUAAUUAACCUAAUUUAAGUAAUUCCUUACAGAAAUGCCCAGAGAGUUAUCUCACUGGUGAUUCUAACUCUCACCAGGUAAACAGUCAAGAUUAGUGAUCACACUGUCCAUACAAGCUAUUUGGUCCCAUUAUGCAUUAGCAUAAUACAUUAUCCCAUUACAGAUUCAAAAUAGGGCCAACCUUAAUUGUGGACUAGAACUUCCAAAAUAGUGAGUUCAAAUAACCUCUGUUCUUUGUAAGCUGAUUGUCUCAGUGUUUGUUAUUGUCAUCUGGAGCUAGAUGAUUAACACAACAAACAAUAACUUCCUAACUUAUACUACUGGUACAUAUUUAUAGUUAUUUCCUUCGUUGUCCCCAAAGUAUGUUUUAUAGAUUUUUUUUUAAAUGGCAACCCUAUAUUUUUAACGAGUAUCAUGAGCUUUCUGUAUCAUUUGGACAGCCUGGUGUAAUUUCUAUUUCACAUUAUACCAAGUAGAUCAAGAUCCUGAAGUAUCACUUAGGGUUGUGUAAGUAUAAAUAGAUUCACAAACAAAAUGGAACCAAUCU